GACGAACGCUGGCGGCAUGCUUAACACAUGCAAGUCGAACGAGAAAGCUUCUUCGGAAGUGAUUAAAGUGGCGCACGGGUGAGUAACGCGUAGACAAUCUGCCCUUCAGUCCGGGACAACUUUCCGAAAGGGGAGCUAAUACCGGAUAACAAUGUUUAACAUAAGUUGAAUAUUUAAAAGCUCCGGCGCUGAUGGAUGAGUCUGCGUCCCAUUAGCUUGUUGGUGCGGUAGCGGCGCACCAAGGCAACGAUGGGUAGCGGGUUUGAGAGGACGAUCCGCCACACUGGAACUGAGACACGGUCCAGACUCCUACGGGAGGCAGCAGUGGGGAAUAUUGCACAAUGGAGGAAACUCUGAUGCAGCAAUGCCGCGUGAGUGAAGAAGGCCCUUGGGUCGUAAAGCUCUUUUAUGGGGGAAGAUGAUG
rnacentral:rRNA from 1 species